AGAGUUUGAUCAUGGCUCAGGACGAACGCUGGCGGUGUGCUUCACACAUGCAAGUCGAACGGGGUAGCAAUACCCAGUGGCGGACGGGUGAGUAACACGUGGGAAUCUGCCUUUAGAUGGGGGAUAGCAGACCGAAAGGUCUAUUAAUACCGCAUAUGCCGAAAGGUGAAAGUAGUAAUACGUCUGAAGAUGAGCCUGCGCCCGAUUAGCUAGUUGGUAAGGUAAAGGCUUACCAAGGCUACGAUCGGUAGCCGGUCUGAGAGGAUGAUCAGCCACAAUGGAACUGAGACACGGUCCAUACUCCUACGGGAGGCAGCAGUGGGGAAUUUUACACAAUGGGCGAAAGCCUGAUGUAGCGACACCGCGUGAGCGAAGAAGCCUUUUGGGGUGUAAAGCUCUGUCAGCAGGGACGAAAAAAAUGACGGUACCUGCCAGAGGAAGCAUGGCUAUCUUCGUGCCAGCAGCCGCGGUA
rnacentral:rRNA from 1 species